UACGUAGGGAGCAAGCGUUGUUCGGAUUUACUGGGCGUAAAGGGCGCGUAGGCGGCGCGGUAAGUCACUUGUGAAAUCUCUGAGCUUAACUCAGAACGGCCAAGUGAUACUGCAGUGCUAGAGUGCAGAAGGGGCAAUCGGAAUUCUUGGUGUAGCGGUGAAAUGCGUAGAUAUCAAGAGGAACACCUGAGGUGAAGACGGGUUGCUAGGCUGACACUGACGCUGACAGCGCGAAAGCUAGGGGAGCGAACGGG
rnacentral:rRNA from 1 species